rnacentral:lncRNA from 1 species
AGGUUCCCAAGUCAUUCAUCAAAAUAUUUAUUACAUUCAUCAUGAACACCAAACUAUAGUUCAUCAAGUGACCUCAGUCACAAAGUCAUCUCAGAUAAAAUAAACAAAUGAAAUCUCACAUCCCUAUCUCACAAGUGACCUUAGUCACCAAACUAAUAGUUCAAGAGGUGUUGGCUACUAGGUCUUCUUGGUGUAUGGAGCAUGAGUGAAUACCUUAGGUUGCUGGAAUUUCUCCAUAUCCUAUAGAAAAUAUAUCAGAAACAAACAUCACUUGUUGAAACAAAUGAAAAUGUCAAAAAGGAACUUUACCUAUGUAAGCUGGAAUGAAUCAAACAUCAGUUAUAAUAAUCUAUGCAUAUAAGAUCUCACGACACCAAACAUCAUACAUUUUUCAGUAAAAACAUCAUGCAUUGUUUCCAUAACAAAUCAACUUACCAAGGCACAUCUCCAAUUAACUGUAACAUCCUGAAGUUAAAAAUCGGGAAACGUUUUUGUCGGUGUUUUGACCCCGAGGGGUGAUACCAACAAGUAAAUUUGUAUGCGUGCUCCCUUUCCGGAUGGUGAUGCAAGAGUGACACAAAGAUUUAUCCUGGUUCAGGCAGAAGAAGACCCUAUGUCCAGCGGGGGGG